rnacentral:lncRNA from 1 species
GUAGACAAUAAAUGGAAAAUAUAAAUAAUUAGAUGAAUCUUUUCAUCUUAAAAGCUUUGGAAGAGUUUAUCCUUAGAUCUGUCUGGUCAAGAGAGUUUCAAUCUUAGACUUUAAAUAUGGUCCAUAGAAUCAAGAUCUAGAAGGUUUCGGUCAUCAUCUGUUUUGUCAAGUUUCAUGGUAUAUAUCAAAUACAUGGGGCUGAAACAUUAUCCUCCUCUAAUGCAAUUGUGAGUAUUCACAAAUUUUCAGCCGAAGAUAUAUGUUAUCCCAUUACUAAUGCCUUGAAAUCUCCUUAAAAGGAUACAAAGUUUUUCACUUCUUCCCUUUUUUUUUUUUGUUGUUGAAUAAGAUAGUGCCUAACAUGCCUCAGCUAGAGCUAAUAUGGGAUAUCCGACCAACACCCACACCAUCAAUUAACAACUCCCCGCUAAUGGCGUAUCCAGCAGCUGCAGAGCAAACGAUCGCAUCUUGAAAUGUUUCGCCACAAAAUCCACUAUCUUGUUCACUUCCCUGCAGCGCAUGUCGGAUCUCUACAGUCCACUACCGACCAAGCAUCUGUUGCACUGAGUUUCAUAGAUUCCGCAAACAAUUCUCCUCUGGUGUACUGCUCUGUAGCAGGUUAAUGGCCUCCAAACUAUCACACUCUAGCUCCACAAGCCGAUACCCUUGUUGCCAAGUCAAGUGAAGCCCCUCAGCCACCGCCUACAACUCUGCCUGCAAAAUUGAACAGAGACCAUUAUUCCUCCCAAAUCUUACUCUCCAACUCCCCCACUCAUCCCGAUCAAUGACUUUCACUUUGAUCAUUAAUUAAUGGAGUUUUCCUAUUUUGGGGGAGCCAACAACCAUUCUUACCCCACUUCAUGCUUCUACUAUAAUCCAAUUUCUUUUACUUGAAAAUGAAGCACAGUGUAGAAAUGGUGGGGAUCUUUGCAAAUAGAAAUGGUGGCUAAAAUACUGUUCGGAACUGUGGUUACAGUUUUAAUCACAAAAUUAAAAGUGUUAAAACGUAAAGAUGCAUGCCGAAAUUGAUUACACAAUUCAACCCUAGUCUACUUUGCUCAGAGUAAUAAUCUACUAUCUUUCUUAUAGUACAACAAAUGAUUUAAGUUUUAAUAUUGGUUUAACUCUUACUAAUUUAGCGACCUUAUCGUUGUAUAAAGAUUAGAUCACUCUCUUACUAAGUUUUCUCCUCGAAAAUUUAGUUUUGCAAUACAAGAGACUCUCCUGAUUGCUUACAAAAAUAAUGCACACAUAAAACGUUCCUAACUUAGAACAAAUUUGUGCUCUAUCAAUCUCUUGGUCUC